AGUGUGGGUUAGAGGGAAUUACUCUGCAGCACCUGGAAAGCCAGCUCACAGGUGGGCUGCUGGGGUGACUUGGCCGGGCCUGCUUGUAAACACUGGCUAUCAACUCCUUUACAAGCCUUAACUGACUAGCAGAGAGAUUUUGGCUUUCAUUCCAGAAUGAUGUUGCACAGAAAAGUCAACUCUUGUUCCAGGGCACGAGUAAAGAUAUCAACUCAUCUAUCUGUAGAAAAUUGCCAGAAACUGUCACAAAAUAAAAAAUGAGAGAAGGCCUGAAUUACAACAGUCCUGUUGGGGUUCUACAAGAUCCCGGCCUUUCUUCGAAGUGCUUGGAAGACCUUGGCAGAUUCAGCCAGUGUUUUGAUCACUGCCAGAGCCUGCAGCUUUGUUGCUAAUUGUUUGCUGAAAGAAUUGAGCAAAAGGACAACUGGUCCCAAGGCAAGAGUGAGGAGGCUGUCUCUUCACUAGAACUAAAGAACCAAAACUGUUCAGAAAGAGAGAAGAGCCCAGCACCUUAUACUCAGGAGAUACUGAAAAACGUCAUGUAAAGUGUUUACUGUUGCGAGAAAAGUACACGUCAGAGGAUGCCCAUUAUUGAUAUAGAGCCUUCUGUGUACCCUGGAUGAGCAUGACCAGGAUGUCACCCUCAGUUGGCUGCAGCUGUUUUCAGAAUCUGUGGGAUCAUACCCCAGAGGCAGUUGAGUCAGCCGCAGGCAUCAGGUGAGGAGGAAGAAGAGUGAGACAGCUAUUACAGGCUGCCGGGGCAGGUGGCUGUGAAGAGGUGUGGGGCCACCAAGGCUUAUAUAAGGAGGAUGGAGAACACAGGCCAAAGGGGAGGCUGUCAUGCUGACUUCGAUUGGCUAACUUAAUAUGAGGCAGACUGAGGGAGGAGGAAGAGGGCAGGAGAGAACAUGCUUUAGAAAGCAUGACGGUGUCUCAUCUGUUUGCAAGCGAACACGUAGGUGCCUUCCAAAUAGGAUCCUGAAGAAUGUGCAGAUAAAUGAAAAAUCUGAUAUACAAUAAACCACAUACCUCUUUAUGUCUAUAUAUGAACUUAUUUAAGAAGGCUGACUUUAGUAGAAUAUGAUGCAUAUCCUAAUUAUAUCAAUAUUGGAUGCAUUGUUAGUACCAUUUCUCAACUUCAUUUUAAAAAUCACUUUAAGAAAAUACAAAAAAUAAUUCUGAAGAUUUUAACCUUAGGUGCCCAUAGAUCAUUUUCUUGGGAAACUGCAGCUUUUAGAAAUGCUGGACAUACUUUACCCAAAGCAUUGUAACUGGUCUCCCACAAGCCUAGGAUAAAAGUUUUCCACAGAAACGCUACUACAGAAAAAUGCCACAUCCCACGGAUUAAACACUGAAACCAGCUAAUCACAACACAUGAGAGCAAAUGUAGCAUGUUUGGAGAAGUACAAAUAAUGUUGAAACAUGUCUGUCAUGAAAUCUGAUCUUAACAAUCCUCUGAAGACUAGCUUUUUUGCAAAGAGAACUUAUCACUAACAUACCUCACAGAGGAGGCCUCAGUUUCUAAUAGAGUUAAUUUUAUCUCUUUUGAUGAUGGAAACAAAAGACAGCCUGGAAACAUCCUCUUAAUUCUAAGCACCACCCACCCUUUCUCAGUGGGGAGAGGUAAGCUUUCAGUAAUUCCCAGUGUGUCUUAUAUUGAAUAUAUAGAAGAUGGUAAAGCAGGGCCAGGUAAUUCCAACACUUAAACUGCUACUUAACCAUUCAUAUAUUAAAGGAGUUUACAUGGAUUGUCAGCUAUGAAAGAGGUUUCUCAGUCUAUAUCCCACUCCACAGUCAACGCUCCUCACAGGUGCACUUGGCCGUGGGGCACUUGUAAUCUCAGAAGCCGAUACAGCUGCCAAGUUCAAGUUGCCAUGACUCUGAACAUAGUAUAACAUUCCCAUUCCAAGCCAGAGCCCGUCACUUUUGUGGCUGUUCAGAUGAGGGCCCUUCUUGGUACCACUCUGACUCACAUACACUGGCUGCAUUCAUGUAGCAGGUGAAGGACUUAAGUGUCACUAAGUUGGUUUCCAGUUGCUUCCAGGAAAAAAAAAAAAAAAAACCGGCAUAUAAGAUUCUUGCUCCUGAUACCUGGCCCUCUCCCAUGGCUGCCGAGAGAAGAUCCGGCCAUUGCUGUCUUGGCUUCAAGUGCUGCCUCCCACACACAUAUUGAGGGGCUCUGCAACAAACAGAAACCUAGGGACAUUGACAUUUUGGGGGCAGGGUGUAGAAAAAAACACUGCAUGCGUAUCUGAAAACUCUGCCAAGCACGUCAGCCCUGCCAUGCCACUUCCUAGCUCUUCUAACUUCAGAACAUUCUGUGUUAGGAGUUGCUAAUCAGUCCAAUAUCAUAUGUAGUUUAACGAUGUUGAAACACAUCUGCCAGAAAGAAGGCCAAAAGGAAGGGCUCCUCUACUGCUCUCUUCUGCCAAAGAUCUGAUCACUCGUGACUGCAGCCCCUCACUUUGCCCCUGGGUGUUUUCUCCCUGUGUUGUUCUUGGGCGUGUUUAAUUUGGAUUGAGCAUCCAUGGAGCUGUGUAAACACUGAGGUCCCAUUAAUAUUACAAUAUUAAACAGUAGUGCUAAUUACCAAUAGACCCCUCAAAAAGCAAUCAAAUAACAAACUCACCUUACCUUGACCUUUGUAUCUCUGGCAACCAAAAGCUCAAAAUGCAGUUCUGUCAUUUUUGCACAGUCAUUUACCUUGACACCCUCCGUCUGCCGUGGAAUCCAAUCUCCAUGUAUAAAAAUAAACCUAGAAACUUUCUGUUCACA
ensembl:lncRNA